rnacentral:rRNA from 1 species
AUUGAACGCUGGCGGCAGGCCUAACACAUGCAAGUCGAGCGAGCGGCGGACGGGUGAGUAAUGUAUGGGGACUGCCCGAUAGAGGGGGAUAACUACUGGAAACGGUAGCUAAUACCGCAUACUAUCGGAUAACCCAUAUGGGAUUAGCUAGUAGGUGAGGUAAUGGCUCACCUAGGCGACGAUCCCUAGCUGGUCUGAGAGGAUGACCAGCCACACUGGGACUGAGACACGUCCCAGACUCCUACGGAGGAAGCAGUGGGGAAUAUUGCACAAUGGGCGCAAGCCUGAUGCAGCCAUGCCGCGUGUAUGAUGAAGGCCUUCGGGUUGUAAAGUACUUUGGGCGGGGAGGCGGUAUCUGCAGAAUAAGCACCGGCUAACUACGUGCCAGCAGCCGCGGUAAUUC